GUUGGAUAGCGUUGCGAAAACGUGGGCGGGAAAUAUAUGAGGUAUUUCUGAACUUAAUUCUUACCCGAAUUCUAAACUCUAUUUGGGAUAGUUAUUCAGGGUUUUGCCAUGCUUAGUUUUCCCUUUAUUCGAGGCCAUACAUGUGGGGUAAAGGACGGAAGGUAAACAAAUAAACAAACAAACAAACAAACAAACAAGCAAGCAAGCAUGCAUGCAAGCAAGCAAACAAACAAAUAAACAAACA